rnacentral:lncRNA from 1 species
AUUGGGAUCCUGUAUCCAUCUUUGUUGAAUUUAAACAAAAAAUCUUCUCCCCAAAGAAAUUUGAAAAAAGGCAGGACAGGAGUUUUGAGAAAAAAAAAAGGCAGCAUGAGCAACUUUGCAAAAGAAAAAGCAGGAUGACAAUUUAUUUUAAAAAAAGUCAGGAUAAACUAAUGAAAAAAAAAGGCAGGAUCAAAAAGAGUGAAAAAUAAAAAGGCAGAACAUCUAGAUUACAACUACCGUAAAUAAAAAUGCAGGAAAUUUUUUGUUAACCCUAGCCCUCCC